AGAUCUCAGCAGGAACGGAUUCUCAGUGAAGUUUGCAUCUGUCCUUCCUGAUCAUUUGCCAACAAGGUGAUACCACUCCUAGCAAAUAGGCAGCCAACUUUUGGGCAUAACUGGCUAAGUAGCAGGAGGUGCAGGGUGUCUUCUAUGGGAAAAGGUCAAGAACUAAUAGUCACAGCCAGGUCCAGAUGAGUUGGAAACAAACGGAAACAGCCAACUGCAGACCAAAACUUCAACCAGUCUAAGGACCAUGUGGCACCACUUCUCAUACAUCAGUGAGAAAGAAACAAAAGGAGGAAGUGCAGGAGACACAUGGAAGGAGAUAUUGCUAAGAAUAGAGCUGGAGAUGUGCUCUUGGAAGAUGUAGUACUACAAGAGGUCUGAGGGACUGUGGAGCCAUAAUACCCCUGCAGCCUGGCAGACUAAGGCAGAGCUGACUGCUGAAAACUGUGGGAAUGGAGACUUUCUAGGGGAAAGAAAGGUAUUGAACUGAAGUUGAGGCUGUAGAGGGGAGAGGAAAACUGUUAGCUUAGGUGACCGUAAGUUGUAUGUCUAUUUUUCCUCAGUACUCAGUUCAGUAGUUAAAAGAUUAUGUUAACUGGCAAUAAAUCAAAUAAAGUGAAAUUCCCCAAGUCAAGGAUGUUUUGUCCAGGACAGUAAUGGAAAUGGAAAUGUAAUCUAUAUAUAUUAAGUUCACUAUCUUCUUUUGCAUGUUGACUAAGCCAUAUUAAAUUUGCAAAACGUCUUUAGAUAUAUUUCUUCAUUGUGGUAUUCUCUAAACUGUUUGGACUGAUGAUGGUUUCUGGAAGUACUUUUUCUUUUUUCCUCUGGUUUGUAAAAUGACCAUGUAAGAAUUUAUAGAAGAUAUAUGUAUACAAAUAGGUAUGGUUAGUGGAACAUUUGAACAUGCUUUGCUGAACUUGAGUGUCUUUCACAGUUUAAAGACCAGAACUAUAGCCUGUGUGCCUUGACUGCCUAAGUUCACUGGGAACACAAUGCUUGGACAGGCAAAUGCAAGUCAGGGAACUGAAACAGAAAACGUUAUCCUGAGCUGUCAAUCCAGCCUGUCUUUAGGUUUCCUCUUUCAGAGGCUGAAUGGAUAGCUAACCUCUGUUAACUGCUUCAAAUUUCCCGUUAGAUUCCAGGUUAUUAAAAGAAACUGUAGAGGAUUUUUAGAUUACCUUAGCAGAGACAGGGAGUAGUGACAAUUAAGCUAGAUGAUAAAUUUACCAGCCAGAAGGUGGCUGGUAAACCAGUGACAUGUGGCUAAACAAUUGCUACUGAAAAACAACAGGUUCAUGGGGAAAGAAAGGUGAUUU